CCCAUUCCGGCUCUCGGAGCUCCCGCCAGCUUGCAGGACCCGGCAGGUGCCUCUCGGCCGCCGCUCACCGCGGGUGUUGCUGGGUUCCUUUCCCACUUUAGACCUCACCCGCCAGUCCUGAAUUCACCGUCUCAUUUAUGACGGGCACCUAUCUGCUCCACAGAGGAUCCCCAGGAACAACUGGUGUUGGGGACGCGGCAAAAUAACCCUGCUUUUCCUUCCCUCCAUGAGAAAGAAGCCAGCUCUGUCUGACGGCAGCAAUCCUGACGGCGAUCUCCUCCAGGAACACUGGCUGGUUGAGGACAUGUUCAUUUUUGAGAAUGUGGGCUUCACCAAGGACGUGGGCAACAUCAAGUUUCUGGUCUGCGCAGACUGUGAAAUUGGACCAAUUGGCUGGCAUUGCCUAGAUGACAAGAACAGUUUCUAUGUGGCCUUGGAACGAGUUUCCCAUGAGUAACUGAGGGGAGGGGUACUCAGCUCCAUCUCCAAAGAUAAACCUACUCCCCACAAGAACUGGCCUUUAAUGUGGCAAGACUUCUUUAAUGGAUAGUAUCAUUUACUGAACCUACUGGGCAUGGUCCUCAUGGAGUUUUGGUUCAACUGGAAUCUCUGUGCCAACCCAGGAUACAAACUUCCAUCCAGAUGCAUGGAUACAAAUUUCCAUAGCUCCGGGGCUGCUCUAACAGUUUGAUAUCAGCAGACGUGUUUAAGCCUUCAACUUGAUUUCCAAUUAUUCCAUCAUUUCUAUUCUGAAAUGACUCACUGUCGUAGAAGGAAGUUUAUUAUAUAACCAAGGUUUCAGGUAUCCUCCUGUCACCACCUCUACUAUUCAGGAGGCCUAAAAUUGAAAUAAGUACUAAACAGAAACCUUACCAUCUGAAGUCCCUUCCAUUGUUUUCUAGUUGCUUCCUCAUUCCUUUACCCCCAAACUUUCUAAGGGCUCCCCGACUGCAGUGCAAGGUGGCCUUGGGCACAGUUUUGCAACCAACCUACUCCCCUGGAAAGAUGGCUUCCUUCUCCAAUUAGCCUGAAUGAGCUUUAGUAAGCAAUUGAGAGAACUGUGUUUUUCCGACAAACGGUCACAUGUCCAUCGUUAUGGCAUGUGCAGAAAAACAGAGUUAUCCACACAAGUCAGGAGCAAAACCCAAGUAGAUGCCUCUAGGGGCACAUGGCCCCUCACAUCACAAGCCAGAACCUAAGCUAAGCAUUUUUUAAAUUGAGUUUGAGACUAGCCUGGGCAACAUAGUGAGACCCCAUCUCUAUUUAAAAAAUGAACAAAAUUACCUGGGCAUAGUGGUGUAUACCUGUAGUCCCUGCUACUUGGGAGGCUCAGGUGGGAGGAUCACUUGAGCCCCAAAGAUGGUGGCUGCAGUAAGCCAAGAUCACACCACUGGCACUCCAGCCUGGGCAACAGAGUGAGACCCUGUCUCAAACAAACAACAACAGUAACAACAAAAAAAUAUAUAGCGACUUGAAUAGGAAACCAUAGUAUUUCAUUGUUUUAAUUUGCAUUUAUUUUAUUUCUAGUGAAACUUUUAUAUACGUAUCGGUCAUUUCUAUUUCCUUUUUUGAGAACUGCCAAAUGUUGCCCUAGUAGCCAAAAAUAUCAGGUUGCUAUUCUGCCUUUUCAGUUUGAUCUGAAAGAAAUAAAGGCAUUUAAGCAAUGGAAAUUAGAUUUCUGCAUGUCCUUGGGAAGAAUAUAUAAAUUGAAAAAACAAAGGAGAGCUGAAACCUGAACCUUGGGGUUUAGCUUAAGGUCAACCAACUGAUUAUCUAGUCAGCUAUAAAAUGCAAACGUCAUUUCUUCAUUUCCCUCACACCUAAUAGGCUCUCAGUACAUACUUGUGAAUCAGCUGCUAUUUGCUGUGGGUAGAUAGAGGCAACCUGUGCUUUCUGCUCCGAGUAUAGAAACUUCCGUUUUCUAUUGGGGAGAGCAGUUGAUUUUGUGAAAGCCUGAUUGUUUCCACAUAAUUGUCUGUUGUUUUACAAAAACAUGGAAUCAAAGAUGGGCAGUGGUGUACUGACAUUUCACAAAUUGUCACCAUGUUGUAUAUGAGGCUACACAUGUAACUGAGUAACUAUGAGGACUUCUGCUUCUGAUAAUGGUGGAUAGGUCCUUUGGACUACCCAGCUCACUGGUUAACUAGAAAGGCUGGACAAAAUACUUUAGAAAUCUGUGUGAACACACCAAGAGAGCCGACUUGACUUUGAAGAAUUGCUAAACCAGGACAGCAGAGGAGAUGGGAACCCUGGGAGGUGGGCUUGGUGUGAGGGCCACCGUUCUCCUGGGAGCAUUUGCCAAACUUGGAGGUGAUUCAGAGGCUUAGCAGUGAUUUUAGCAGCCUUUCAGAAGUAGGGGAUGGGGCCUGUGAAAGGGCGAUGGACUUGGUGGUGUUACUCACUUUUGGUUGAAGCCCUCAGUCUUUUGCACCCCAGGAAUAAGGGUGAGGCGGUGUAGGAAACAGGCUCUCGGGACUGCAGCCCAGCCUCCGAUUACGGAUCUUAAUCCUUGAAAUUAGAUUAAGGUGAUCCCAGAGUGGUAGUUUGCCCAAACUCUUUGGAUAAGCAAACAAAACCCCUCUCUAGAGGAUGUUAUUAUUAUCCUAAACCCAGAUUCUUUCUACAAUUUUGCUAAUACAAUAUCCUGAGUACAACAAGAUGUAACCAGGCACGUGAGACAAGAUAGCAGGCCCACAGUGGCUGGAGACAUCGGUGCUAUCAGACUAAAAUAACUGCUUACCAUGUUCAAGGAGAGACACUAGUUUGGGAAUUCAGCAGCUACAUGAACAUGUUUUUUUAAAAAGUAAAUUCUAGAAUUUGUAAGAAUCCAAUAAUCAAAAUUAAGAAUACAGUGGAAACUUGAUUGGGCAUGGUGGCUCAUGCCCAUAAUCCCAGCACUUUGGGAGGCCAAGGCCGGCGGAUCAUGAGGUCAGGAGUUCAAGACCAGCCUGGCCAAUGUGAAACCCUGUCUCUACUAAAAAUGCAAAAAUUAGCCAGGCAUGGUGGUGCACGCCUGCAAUCCCAGCUACUCCGAAGGCUGAGGCAGGAAAAUCGCUUGAACCCAGGAGGCGGAGGUUGCAGUGAGCCGAGAUUGUGCCACUGCACUCCAGCCUGGGACAGGGAGAGAUUCCGUCUCAACAAAAGAAAAAAUACAGUGGAACCAGCAUGGGCAACAUAGUGAGACCCUGUCUCCACAAAAAACAAAAUAGCUGGGUGUGGUGGCACCUGCUUGUAGUCCCAGCUACUUUUGAGGCUGAGGUGAGAGGAUCACUUGAGCCCAGGAGUUAGAAGCUUCAGUGAGCUAUGAUGAUGCCACUAUACUCAAGCCUGGGCAACAGUGAGCCCCUGUCUCUAAAGUUCACUGGAAUGCUUUAACAGCAGCUUAGGCACAACUGAGGAGAGAACUAGAAAACUAGGGGUUAGACAUAACUAACAGUAGAUAUGUAAGACCACAACACAAAACCUUAUAUGACAUUACUGAGAGAAAGUAAAAGAAAACAAAUUCAUGGGGCCAGGAAACUAUAGCCCACAGGCCAAAUUCAUUCAGCCAGUACCUAUUGAGGCUCAGAAACUUUCAAGCUAAAAAUAGUUUUUACUUUUUUUUUUAUGAGACAGGAUCUUAACUCUGUUACCUAGCCUAGAGUGCAGUGGCACAAUCACAGCUCACUGCAGCCUCAACCUCCCAGGCUCAGGCGAGCCUCCCAGCUCGGCCUCCUGAGUAGCUGGGAACACAGGCAUGUGCCAGUGCGCCCGGCUAAUUUGUAUUUUUAGUAGAGACAGGGUUUUGCCAUGUUGUCCAGGCUGGUCUCAAACUCUUAGGCUCAAGUGAUCCUCCCACCAUGGACUCCCACAAGUGCUGGAAUUACAGGUGUGAGCCACCGCACCUGGCCGAUUUUUAUGUUUUGUAAAUGGUUAUGUAAGUAUAUAAUAUCUCCAAUUCUGCCUCAGCCCACAGAGCUUAGAAUACUUAUCUAACCCUUUAAGAAAAAAGUUUGUUAACUCCUAAUACUGUUAACAAUCUCAACUUCAAACUGAUGUAUAAAUUCAGUAAAUCCCAGUCAAAAACUCAAGUUUGUGUGUGUGAAAUUCAACAAACUGAUUGUAAAAGUUAAAUGAAAAUGCAGAGGACGAGGAGUAGCCGAGACAGUCAUGGAGAAAAACAAGGUGGGAGAAUUUUUCUAUUGGACAGACAGUGUAGCUUGUCACAAGGAUAGACAGACUAAUGGAACAAAAGAGCUCAGAAACAGACCCACGCAUAUAGGACACUUGAUUUAUGAUAAAGGUAGGAGUAAUGAUUUGGAGGGGGCAUGAGGAGAGCUUCUGCAAUGCUAGUAAUGUUCUACAUUUUAAAAUCUUGAUAGUUGCUAUGUAAUAAAGUGAGCUGUACAUCUUCUGUGUACUUUUCUGAACAUGUAUUUUCACAAUAAGGUUUUUAUUUUUCUUGGGACAGGGCCUCACUCUGUCACCGAGGCUGGAGCGCAAUGGCACGAUGGCGGCUCACUGCAACCUCGAACUCCCAGGCUCAAAUGAUCCUCCUGCC
rnacentral:lncRNA from 10 species